UGCCAACAAGGUCCCAAGCUCCUUGGAUGAUGAGAACAGCUGAGUUCAUCAGGAAAGCCAGCAUGACAAGUUCCGCCAAGAGAACCAACAGCUCCUUACAGCUUCUCCCAGCUCCAACAGCCUUCUUCUUCUCCAGGUCUGCCUCUUAUGCUGCUGGCAACAGUCCCAGGUUCCUGGCUGGGGGACCACCCACUGGCAGACACACAGAGCUGGGGAACCGGGCGGCCCCGGGCUGGGUACCAUCACGCCCAGAGGACAGCACCCUUCCUGCCAGUGCCAGGCAGAGCGGCUGCCCCCUGGGGGCGGGGGGACAACCGGAGCAAUCAGAAACGUCAGAUUUGAAGAUGCUGCCCGUUUCCUGUGCAAGGAGACGCAGACCAGCGGGAGGCCACACGCCCCACCGUCUCCUCGCUGACUCUCCGACGUACCCUGGAUGUGCUCGGGCCGAGGCAAGAUCCGUUCCCUGUGGAGUGUUCAGUAUGGAACUGUAG
rnacentral:lncRNA from 1 species